rnacentral:misc_RNA from 1 species
GUGAAGAACGUAGCGAAAUGCGAUAAGUAAUGUGAAUUGCAGAAUUCAGUGAAUCAUCGAAUCUUUGAACGCACAUUGCGCCCGCCAGUAUUCUGGCGGGCAUGCCUGUUCGAGCGUCAUUUCAACCAUCAAGCCCCCCGGCUUGUGUUGGGGACCUGCGGCUGCCGCAGGCCCUGAAAAGCAGUGGCGGGCUCGCUGUCACACCGAGCGUAGUAGAUCUCAUCUCGCUCAGGGCGUGCUGCGGGUUCCGGCCGUUAAACCACCUUCAUAACCCAAGGUUGACCUCGGAUCAGGUAGGAAGACCCGCUGAACUUAAGCAUAUCAAUAAGCGGAGGA